UUACAAAUAAAUAUAAUGUUCCAAAUACAUACACCACUGAGGGCAGAAGUGGCAACAAAAUACAAAACAUAAGGGUCACUUCUUUCGCUAUGCUAUUGGAAUUCAUCAGAGUGCGAGAACUUCCAUGCACUUAGACUUGUAGAUCGACAGGAUCCUCAUAGACUUCCAAUGAUAGGUCUGCCUGCAGUUCCUCAUUUUUUUCCUCAUCUGGGGGGAAUGGAAAGAGUGAGUUCCAUAUGCUCAGUAAGAAAAACAAUAUUAAAUUAACAUCGUACGAUUUCAAAAGUUUAUUAUUUUAUC
rnacentral:lncRNA from 1 species